UCCAAAUUUACUUGGAUAACUGUGGUAAUUCUAGAGCUAAUACAUGCCGACCAGCUCCGACCCUUCGGGGAAAGAGCGCUUUUAUUAGUUCAAAACCAGUCGGGUUCUGCCCGUCCUUUGGUGACUCUGGAUAACUUUGUGCCGAUCGCAUGGCCUCGAGCCGGCGACGCAUCUUUCAAAUGUCUGCCCUAUCAAAUGACGAUGGUACGUGAUCUGCCUACCAUGUUGGCAACGGGUAGCGGGGAAUCAGGGUUCGAUUCCGGAGAGGGAGCAUGAGAAACGGCUACCACAUCCAAGGAAGGCAGCAGGCGCGCAACUUACCCACUCCUGGCACGGGGAGGUAGUGACGAAAAAUAACAAUACGGAACUCUUUUGAGGCUCCGUAAUUGGAAUGAGUACACUUUAAACCCUUUAACGAGGAUCUAUUGGAGGGCAAGUCUGGUGCCAGCAGCCGCGGUAAUUCCAGCUCCAAUAGCGUAUACUAAAGUUGUUGCGAUUAAAAAGCUCGUAGUUGGAUCUCAGGCAUGGGCGCACGGUCCGCCUCGCGGCGGUCACUGUGUGUAUUGUUUCCCAUCCUACGCUUCCCGGUUGUUCAGCCCAUGGUGCUCUUCAUUGAGCGUUUUGGGUGGCCGGAACGUUUACUUUGAAGAAAUUAGAGUGUUCAAAGCAGGCACGUCGCCUGAAUAAUGGUGCAUGGAAUAAUGGAAUAGGACCUCGGUUCUAUUUUGCUGGUUUUCGGAACACGAGGUAAUGAUUAAGAGGGACAGACGGGGGCAUCCGUAUUGCGGUGUUAGAGGUGAAAUUCUUGGAUCAUCGCAAGACGAACAACUGCGAAAGCAUUUGCCAAGCAUGUUUUCAUUAGUCAAGAACGAAAGUCAGAGGUUCGAAGACGAUCAGAUACCGUCGUAGUUCUGACCAUAAACGAUGCCAACUAGCGAUUCGCUGGUGUUGCUUCAUCGACUCUGCGGGCAGCUUCCGGGAAACCAAAGUUUUCGGGUUCCGGGGGA
rnacentral:rRNA from 1 species